rnacentral:lncRNA from 1 species
UGAACUAGACGAUGGCAUUAUACAAACCUGUGCAUUGUUAUCAUUUGGUGUCACAGGAGGUAGUGCAGCAGUUGGUUGAUCCACAGAAUACUGUACCAUUUGCUGCUUGUCGAUUUCUGUUAACUCAUUUAAGGGUUGUUUCAAUGAAACAGUAGCUGAUAUCAGGCAAGUCUAGGCAGUAACAACUUUUGGUAAAAUUUCUGCAGCUGUAGCAGCAGGGAAAAUGCUUUGUUGCUGCUGCACAUUACACUUGAAAUGAUUUUCAUCACUUUCAUCUGAUUGAUCAGCCUGUGCAAAGGAGUCGAUACCAUCUGGAGUUGUCUCAUUCAUGGGCUGAACUAGAGAAGCAAUAUGCGAGGCCUCUAAAUUAUCAUCCACUACAACAGGUUUCGACAGUAGAUGUUGAUCUG